rnacentral:piRNA from 1 species
UGGAAUUUUGGAGAAAUUCUAGCCUUUCAA